CCUACGGGUGGCAGCAGUGAGGAAUAUUGGUCAAUGGACGAGAGUCUGAACCAGCCAAGUAGCGUGAAGGAUGACUGCCCUAUGGGUUGUAAACUUCUUUUAUAUGGGGAUAACAUGUUCCACGUGUGGGAUUUUGUAUGUACCAUACGAAUAAGGACCGGCUAACUCCGUGCCAGCAGCCGCGGUAAUACGGAGGAUCCGAGCGUUAUCCGGAUUUAUUGGGUUUAAAGGGAGCGUAGGCGGAGUGUUAAGUCAGUUGUGAAAGUGUGCGGCUCAACCGUAAAAUUGCAGUUGAAACUGGCAGUCUUGAGUACAGUAGAGGUAGGCGGAAUUCGUGGUGUAGCGGUGAAAUGCUUAGAUAUCACGAAGAACUCCGAUUGCGAAGGCAGUUCACUGGACUGCAACUGACACUGAGGCUCGAAGGUGUGGGUAUCAAACAGGAUUAGAUACCCGAGUAGUC
rnacentral:rRNA from 1 species